rnacentral:rRNA from 1 species
UACGGAGGGUGCAAGCGUUAUCCGGAUUCACUGGGUUUAAAGGGUGCGUAGGUGGGCAGGUAAGUCAGUGGUGAAAUCUCCGGGCUUAACCCGGAAACUGCCAUUGAUACUAUCAGUCUUGAAUACCGUGGAGGUAAGCGGAAUAUGUCAUGUAGCGGUGAAAUUCGUAGAUAUUAGCAGGAACACCGGUGGCGAAGGCGGCUAUCUGGACGACAACUGACGCUGAGGCGCGAAAGCGUGGGGAUCAAACGGG